CUCCUGGUUCCCCCACGCUCGUCUGCAACCCCCCACCCUGGCUCACUUGAUUAUGUGGAGCCAGAGUCGGGGAAAGUGUCACUAUGGAAACAAGGGCAGAGGCAGCGAGGGCUCUCGAUGGGAGAGAAGGAGCGCAGAAACCAAGAGAUGGGCUGUGGAAUUCACCAGCGGUCAUUUGGACCGAAGAUUUGGGAGGUAACAACUGAAUUUUAUUCACCACUGAGGCACAGCUGUGAGGUUUAUUUUUAUCCAAAGCACUUUGCUGAACCUUAAGUGCCUCACUCCUUUUUUUUUUUUUUUUUUUUAAUCAAAGCACCAUUUCUCAGCCCUUUAGACAGAUUCUAACAUCCUUUGCACUAUAUGCAAUUCCCUUGCCGAAUUAUUACCAAUAUAUCUAGCAGCAAGCAUAUUUUAAUAUGACUAUAUUACAAAUUAAAUACUUUUCCCAUUUAAUAUAACAACAUAUAUUCAGUCAUAAUGAUACAAACCUGGACCCUCAAAUAUUAUGUUUAUAAAUGAAUAAUAUUGAUUUGUAUUAUGAUGAGAACAAUGCAAUGCAACAAAGCUGCUGAAACUAGUUUUCGAGUUUGAGGAGCAGGGCGGUGUCGGAAGGAGGAGAGAAAGGGGGGUGCGCGGGUAAGCAAGGGGAGGAGUAAAAAAAAAAAGUGGGGGGAGUGUUGGUGUAGGGGGAGUCGGAUCGGAAGGAGGUUUGAUAGUGAGACGCCAGCCGAGGCAGAGGCAAAGAGGAGGCGACGACGAAGGAGCAACAUCUUCCCCCGAGCUGACAAGUUCGUCGCAUCUCGACUUGCAGUAAAGACGUCCGCUCUGAGCGGGUGCCCCUUCCUCCAUGAGCGUCGGUGAAUGUAUGACUCUGGAAGCCCUGUUGCUGCAGCGAUACCCGUCCUAACUCUUCAGUUUUCCAUCCGAACCAGUCCAGACGUUGCUACGAAGCGCAAAUAAAAGACGCGGAAACCUGUUAGAAGACUCCCCGAACACACAGACAGCCCACACUGCGACAGCGUGAAGACUGAUUUGUCGUCGCCUGCGGGCUAUAAGAGCCCAGCGUGGCCCUCCCAACCUCCAUGAGGUAAACGAGGAUCCACCAGGAUGGGACUUUGGCUGCCUCACAUGAAGCUUGAACGUGGUCCUCUUGAGUUCUGUUUAGUCUUUUUUUAGUCCGAUCAUCUUGAGCAGAAACCAAACUAGUUUGAUAAAUCCAAAUCACUUUCCAGCACACUUCUUCCCUCCCGUCUUCUGAGGGCCUCGCCGCGGCCGCUCUCCCGCGUGCCGACCCCCACCGCCGCCUCCCCCAACCCCUGCGCGGUCGCAUUAUUAAACUUGUAUAAGGUCAUUAGCAUACAAAGCAGGGAACCUACAGCGUCGCAGUCAUACAUAUUUAUCCGGACGUGCCUCGCUCGCUCUGGCGCCGUAACCCCAAAAGCGUGUCCGGCUAUCUAUCGCCGGCGACGGCACAUUUCGGCCACUCGCAAAGUGGAUAUUAGUCGAAGCAUGCCCCAGUUUGAAGGGGGAGAUAUUUAUCGGGAGGAUAUGCGCAUUUGGGUUCAUCGCCGCGCUUUGUUUCAAGCAUAGCAAAUGUAAUUUCCACGCCAGCGUCUGAUAAUAAAAUACAUAUUCAUCUGCCGGCGCACAUAAUCAAGCAGGGACUUUGAUACUACAAGUGUCACCUGUGGGUUAGCCACGCCCGAGUGGGAAAGCGGCUGCGCCUCGGCAAAAUCCACUUUGCGCGCAACCACGCCAUCAUUGUCUGCUUGCUCUCCUGGGUAUUACCCAACCCAUUUGUUUUCCCGCUUUUUUCCCUCCCCAACCUCUUUUUCAACCUGAUUGCGCAACCCCCUCCUUGUUUGUUGAAUUCUCUUGCUAAUAAGCCAAAUCACAAAGAAUAUGCUUCAUCUUUUGGGAUUUUUUUAUGUAAACAUUUUAGCACGCUUGUGAGCACGCGACUAUAUAGAGCUUCGGAAUAUUUCCUUUGCAUUCUUUAUCUUGUUGCUAGGCAGAGUCAAUGGGGCUCGUUUAUAGCUGCCCCAACAGCCAAUGACAGCACAGGAAACAAAUCAAGGGACUAGGAACAAUAUGCUAGAAUUCUGGAUACUAACACAAGCUACUGGUGGCAACUGCUUCUUCCUCCCCCCUGCCCUCUCUCUUUUUUUCCUCCCUACGAGAUUGCUGUUGUGUCUUAUGGCUUUUUAUUCCUACGUGAUGGUCGAUGGGUUCAUGUAGGAGCAGAAGCCACUAAACACGCGGUGACUGCUCAGCGCGACGACGGAGGAUUUUUUUGGGGGGGGGGUUGUACGUGCAUAAGCCACAGAGAUGAGAUGCCUCAUUGUUUUUAUGUAAAAUGGUCUGGAAAAAUGCUCACACUGGUCCAAUAAGAAAAAACUUUCCACUCAAUUUCCAUUUCUUACAUAGUUUUAAUACUUCCCCCGCCCCCCCCUAACUUAUCCAACAGUGGCAUUUAUUCCCUUAAAGCUCCCCUUGAGCUGAGUUCACUUCCAAGCAAUUAAGCGUAAAAUUCAAAUGACCUCCAUCCCUGUUGGGUCUGCUUUGGCGCGUUGGGAUUGGGUUUAAAUGUCAACCGUCUAUUCAACCACCCCCCCUCCCCCUCCGGACAAUUUGGAGAAAGCCUAAACGUGCUGUUGUCGCAAGCCAAAAAAAGCCUGAAUUAUGAAUCCAUGUAUAUUACACCGGUUUGACACAUGCUUCCAAUUGUGUGACAUUACUUCUGGACCGAUGCAAGUUUGGAUUAAUAUUCAAGAAGACAUUGCAAUAGCUACGCUCUGCCGGGGUUUAAUGAUUUAUUCAGCGCAGCGAGUUGUUGUGAUCUAAUAUUCUGUGGGCGGGAUGGGAAGUUUCUUUCUCUUGCAUUAUCGGUUUAAUUUAGUUUUCAGGAUUCCGCUCCUACGCGUUUUUUUUUUCUAUUUUAUACACGCGGGGGUCUGAGAGAAUUCCAAAGCAGAGGCGAAAAGGGUGGGGGUGGGGGGGUUUGUUCUCCUGGAAGGGAAAGGUGGGAACGCGAACAUGUCUCGGGAAGUAAAAGGCGAGCGUGUUAUUUGAAAACAGCACAAAAAAGAUUGACUGCGGAUGUCCUCGUGCUUCGCCCGCGGCCGCGCGCGCCUUCUGAUCUAACGUAGAAAAUGUCAAAAACAAUCUGCGAUAUAAGACAAGCGCAUUUCCACACACAUACUUUCCGAAAGCUUGAUCAAGUCGCGCGAGGUCACGCGACCCUCGACUUGAAACGACCGGCGACGACGUUGGAAAUGGAAAUUCCACGCGACAAAUGCGUGUGAUGUGUUUUGUGUACAGUAUCAACACCCCCCGCAGGCUCCACUUUGAUUUGCCUGUAAUAAAUAAUGCUCUUUUGUGUUCUCCGCUUCAUUUGUUCCCCGUUUGUAAUGUCAGCGCUAUUCAAUAAA